rnacentral:lncRNA from 1 species
AUGGACGGACGGACGGACGGACGCAGGAGGCCGGGCUUCCGCCCCGGGUCUCGGGCUGGGCUGGGCGUGGCCCCCCCCCCACCCCCCGCCCUCGCUGCGGACCCAGCGCACCUGCUCUCCUGCAGGUGCGCGCGCGGGGAGCCCGGGGCUGGGCUCGGAGUCCCCCGCGCGGCCGGGACUGGGGGGCCGAGUGGGGAGCGAGGCUCGCGGGGGAGGAGCUGCGGGAGGGCGGCGAGGAGGAGCGGCGGGCGCGGGAAGGCGAGCGCCGAGCGGGAGCCGCAGGGCGCGGGCCGGGCCGAGCCCCCGGGGCGGCGGAGACACGCGGCGGCGCGCGAGGAAGCAGGACCCCGGGGGCGGGCCCGGAGCAGGCUCGAAAUGAUCAGUGGGACAGGAACCAAAAUUAAGUGCCUCGUGAUGUGUCAAGAUGAACCUAGGAAAAUGGUGAACUGUUGACUGGACUGCUUCUCUGAAUCUGCCGGUACUUCUUUUUGUCCCUAGUUUUAAAAGUUCCCCAGAGGAAAUCUGAAACCCAGACUCUUCUCAGAAUAGGAUGGGGGGGAAUUCUAAAGUUCUCAUUAAACACAUUUAUCCCUCAAGCUUUGGAAGGAGCCAAAAAAUGCCAAAAGCGAGAAUCCCAAAGCACUGCCCACACUGGUGUGAUAUCCUGGUAGAUGUCUAACAAAUUCAGCAUGUGUCCCCUGGGCUUGAACAUUUGCUGGGCAAAGGUCCAGAAUAGUGAGACAUCUUGGGAUUCAUCUGGUUUAGGAAAGACUUUUAACUACCAGCCGUCACCUCACUGUUCUUCAAGUAGUCAAGUCUUGAGGUCUUCUCAGUGUGGGCUGUUCUGAUGGAGGGCCCCCCACCAGCAUGAAGCAGAAGGAUGACCUCGUCCGUAGGCAGGACAACUGUGAAGAGAGCUGCGUGUGUCCAAGUCUGUGGGAAGAGAGAGCCACCUAGAAUGUCCCCGCCAAACCAGUCACUGGAAGGCCUUCUCCAGGAGGCCUCCAACAGAUCCCUGAAUGCUACGGAAACCCCAGAGGCCUGGGGUCCAGAGACACUCCAGGCCCUCAAGAUCUCUCUCGCUCUGCUCCUCUCCAUCAUCACGAUGGCCACAGCCCUCUCGAACGCCUUUGUGCUCACCACCAUCUUCCUCACCAGGAAGCUCCACACCCCGCUAACUAUCUCAUUGGCUCCCUGGCCAUGACUGACCUCUUAGUGUCCAUCUUGGUCAUGCCCAUCAGCAUGCCUAUACCACCACCCGCACCUGGAGCUUUGGCCAAAUCCUGUGUGACAUCUGGCUGUCUUCUGACAUCACAUGCUGCACGGCCUCCAUCCUGCAUCUCUGUGUCAUCGCUCUGGACAGGUACUGGGCCAUCACCGAUGCCCUGGAGUAUAGUAAGCGCCGCA